UAAACACACGCAUGACCUUGGCCAGCCUCAGACUUUGUUUACAGCAAAUAUUACAAGUUCACUGUUUUGUUGGUGGUGGUGGUGGUGGUUUUUUUAAUUCAAAUUCUUGCCACAAUUCACAGAAGUCACAAAUACAGUUUUCGAGAUUAGCAAGUUUCUGAACGUGUCCUUAUGGUUGAGGGAGGAGAGCGUUAUAAAGCUCAGUUGCAGCUCCUUACACUUAGGCCUGUCAUAUAAAGCAAUACUUCGCAAGGUUUGCCAGUACUGCCCGUUUCAACCCACAGAUGCGUAAUGAUUUACUCUGUCCCCAAAAUUCUGCUCAGAAUUAAGUCAAGGCUUCCAAAAACUGGUAGAGACAUAGUUAGAUCAUAGCCUUUUGAUAGACUAUUCAACAUGUCAACAGAUACAAGUUAUGACUUUGUUUUUUUUAAUUCAGCAGUGACUCAUCACACAGCAAUCUAUUUACUCACUUCCGCUCAGUGGCCUUGAUUACAAUUGGUCCGAUGUAAUAAAACUAUCCAGUUUGGAGAUAUCCAACUUUGCCUUAACAUACAGAAGAGUUACUGACCCAAGAAAAUCAGUUUGUGAUCAAAGCGUUCCCUUCUCAGGUUUACUUUCAGCCUACCCGGUAAGGCAUUCUAUUUCACCCUACUGCAACCCGUUUUCAAUAAGACCAUCCGGAGCCACAGAGUUGGAAAAACAAAACUAAAAAUCCUGUGAAAUAGGAAAGAGUGACUAGCAAGAACGUCAAGCAGACCAGGAGACUUAACUAUCAGGUUACUUUUCAUUAAUCGGCGGGUCAUGCACAACAGGCAUCGCAUUUAUUCGGAAGCGCAGAGUCCCACUACAGACAAAGCCCUGCCGAAGAGCGCGCAGACAGACUGCUGAGCCCUGGCAAAGCCUCCACAAAGCCGAUGGGCUCCAGGAAAUCACAGCAGCAGCUGCAUGAAAACAAGCGACUGAUGCUUUUAAACCAAGCUUUCAAACAGCAGCCUCCAGAACCAGUCCGCAAGUCUGUGCUUUUGUUACUCUGGGUAGAAUAAGAGCUUUUAUGCCUGUUAUAAUACAGCAAAUCUAAGACUGAGUUUGUGUGAAAACACGCAUUUCCUUGACCAGCAACACUGCUCGCUAGCUGAACAUGAGGUAUUUUGUGAGGUGAUUUAUCCGCUUAGCGCUGCCAGACCUCCAACCUGAAACGAGGAGCGAGACGUCACGUUACAUCAGACAGACUGCAAUAUUACCUAAGAGACGCAAACGAACAGCACUGAAAAGACAAAAGCACCAUGACUGAAGCGUGAGGACACGACACGGGACGGACCAGUGUGAAAAACAGUGUUACACCAAUAUGAAUCCUUGAAGAGGGUUUUUUUUACUGCAAAAAGGAAUCUGAAAGCAAGGGGUACACUUGGGGUGUGAGGCCAGAAGAGCUGUGAGCAGGUUUGGGACAGAAGAAAAGUAUUUCUGAUGCCUGAACAGUAUUGGCAGCCGGACCACGCAGAAGGUUUUUAGAUGGUUACCAAAUCUUUUCUGCUGUUAACGUCAAGUGAAUGGGAGUUUCAAAAGGAAAGGAGUCUACAUUAUGUCAUCGACCCGGUAGGAUCAGGUGAAGACGUGAUGGCCUUGGAGUGGUUCUUCCACUGACUGGAGUUUGCCGUUAUCAGAGCAACGUGGAGCAAAUUAAGUCGGUGGGAAACGCGUUUGUUGGCUCAAGCCCAAGGAACGUCAGUUCUUUAGAUUUCACAUCUGAAAGCUUGGCUUUGCCAAGACCUGCCUGCUGCACGGGACCUGCUGGAAUGACACACCGAACCGGCCAUGCGAACCAGUACAAAAGCUGGUCUUUUCUUCCUCUGCCCUUUACACAAAUAUGUUCGGGAUCUGUUCCAACUCCUGGCAACAAAGGCAGCUUCAGCUAUGCGGUCCUUGAGAGUGAAAAUACACCGGGGAAAAUCCUAAGCACAAAAAACUCCCUGGCUUUCCUGCCCCCGUGUGAGGGGAGUGUUAGAGGAGAGGCCGCAUCAGAAGUGGAUGGAUCGGGCUCUGACAGCGACUGCUGGGGACUCUUGGAGAGUUCCCAGCAGAGAAUUUAUGGGGAAAAAGCAAAAACAUCACCACACGACACUGGGAGAAUUUCACUGUCUGGAAGAAAGAGCUUGGAUGGUAGAAAACUCGUGUUGCCUCAGCUGAGACAGGUGUCUGGAAACACCUAUGUAAGUUACACAUCAGUGCAUUUUUUUAAAAAAUGAUGAAAAUAAAAAUGGAUGACAUGAGAAAGAAAUAAAGUACAGGUUUAUCAGAGGAAAGUUCAAUACAAAUUCACAAAUAAUAAAGAUGUGGUUAAUUCCACACUCUUCAUUCAAUAGAAGCACAAAUCCAAAUGAGAGGCUGCAAACCUUACGUCGAAGAAUAUAGAUAUAGUGCCUGAUUUUGUAGUGCAUUGAUUAUUUUCCUCCUAUUGAAAACUCAAGCCUGCCCCAUAAAUGCUAACCUGCUAAAUAAGCCCAGAAGGAAGUAUCACCGAGAAUAAGCUGUCUGAAACUCGACCGUCGCUCAGCGUUGCUGCCCUUUCACUUACCCUCCUUUCCCUCAGUUAGGUUUGUGUCAGAUUCAAGCCUGCAGGAAAUUAGGAGCUGCUGCUAGUGUUCAGCCCAGCCGUGCUGCUAGGAAAAUGCAAGGCUUUUUUUGCCGGAGCCCGUAGGCUUGUAUGUCUUUUGAGGCAGGUAGAGGUUGAUCGACUAGGACUGUCAGGGGAGUUAGGAUGGGCUUAGGGAGGAAAGAGCCACAGAAAAGAGUUAAUGGCUCUCUUUUUGGUUUACAGAUUGUAAACCAAACUCUCACCCAUCUGCCAGGGGAUUACUGUCUUCAUUUAUGUCCCAAACUGGACAUGGUUAUCGGUUUUAUGUGAAGCUUCAAGCGUGCCAUGUGCAAGUAGGGUUCUGUAACACCACAUUUGGAACCCAAAUCUGAAAGCGCCCCGUCUUUUAAAAUUCUGGAUAUUUCAGAGUUGUCUCUUAUAGCUAGGACUGCAGGAACCCGAGGCUUCCAACAUCCCCAAACCUGCAUUAACCUGACACCUUGUGCAAGCUUUAAAAAAAUCACAGGAAUGUAGGCAUCUACCAGAGCCUGCCACCACAGAGUGUGAGCAUCCUGCCAACAUGUUUACUCACUGCUGUAAUGAACACAUGCAAGAUUAGAAAGUUUGUUUAAGUAUUACUGGAAACCAUUUUCCAUCACAAUCCUUUCAGCUGUUUUACAAGGGCUGCAGGAGGAAAUUCCGCCUUUGGGCUCCGAGGCUGGUGCCCACGGCGGCACGGGAAGGCUCAGCAGCGCCGAGCUCCUCCGUGAAAGCACCGCAGGUGGCUGCGAGAGGAGCACACAGCACCUGCAGCGACAUGAACUAAACGGAGGGAAGGUCACAGCCUGCACCGCUUCUUUUGUCAGUGCCAUGCAACGAGCUUCAGACUACGUUUGCCCAUUGCACAGCUGCAUCAAAAAAUGAGUUGGACUUGGGUGAGUUAGGACAGUUGCAGUGCAAAUCAGAGGCAGAGGAUGAACCCGAACCCAGAGGUGCAGAGAGCCAGUUUCUCUGCUCUAUAUAACACGUGUCCUACCUAUAAUUUCCUAGUCAUAUAUAGUUUCUGAGUGUAGUCAAGCAUAAACUAUUUAAGGCAGGGAUUCCCUGUGCAAUUGU